UACGUAGGGUGCAGGCGUUAAUCGGAAUUACUGGGCGUAAAGCGUGCGCAGGCGGUCUUUUAAGUCAGAUGUGAAAUCCCCGGGCUUAACCUGGGAACUGCGUUUGAAACUGGAAGGCUUGAGUGUGGCAGGAGGGGGGUGGAAUUCCACGUGUAGCAGUGAAAUGCGUAGAGACCCGGAGGAACACCAGUGGCGAAGGCGGCUUCCUGGUCUGCGACUGACGCUGUGGCGCGAAAGCUAGGGGAGCAAACGGG
rnacentral:rRNA from 1 species